rnacentral:rRNA from 1 species
AGAACGAACGCUGGCGGCAUGCCUAACACAUGCAAGUCGAACGAGACCUUCGGGUCUAGUGGCGCACGGGUGCGUAACGCGUGGGAAUCUGCCCUUGGGUUCGGAAUAACAGUUGGAAACGACUGCUAAUACCGGAUGAUGACGUAAGUCCAAAAGAUUUAUCGCCCAGGGAUGAGCCCGCGUAGGAUUAGCUAGUUGGUGAGGUAAAGGCUCACCAAGGCGACGAUCCUUAGCUGGUCUGAGAGGAUGAUCAGCCACACUGGGACUGAGACACGGUCCAGACUCCUACGGGAGCAGCAGUGGGGAAUAUUGGACAAUGGGACGAAAGCCUGAUCCAGCCAU